rnacentral:rRNA from 1 species
GACGUAGGGCGCGAGCGUUGUCCGGAUUUAUUGGGCGUAAAAGAGCUCGUAGGCGGCUUGUCGCGUCGACUGUGAAAAACCCGCGGCUCAACUGCGGGCCUGCCAGCCGAUACGGGCAGGCUAGAGUUCGGUAGGGGAGACGUGGAAUUCCUGGUGUAGCGGUGGAAUGCGCAGAUAUCAGGAGGAACACCCGGUGGCGAAGGCGGGGUCUCUGGGCGA